ensembl:lncRNA
CAAGUUCCUGGCAUAGACAUAGUAUGUGUCUCUAUGUCUAUAGCUCCAUAGUGAGGUUAUGCUGGGUUCAUAGAAGACUGGAGCUGAAGAGAGGGUCAGCUGUGUGUGACCUCACCACAGGUUUGAUUAUUGUAUUUUGCCAUGUCAAACAAGAUGGGGCAUAUGCUGCGUUCAAAACACCUGGGAACUCGGGAAAUCUCCAACAGUCCAAGUCGGAUGACCGUUCAAAACGAUUUUUCCCAGUCAGAGCUCGUUUUUUUCCCGAGUUCCCAGUUGUCUUGAAACCACUGAAGUCCGAAGUGGAGUUAUGAGUUCCCAGUUCUUUUCAACGUGGAAAAAAACUUUCUGCUUUAUUUCGCAUUUUAUUUUCCACUUAUCCACAUUGUUUGUUUUGUAUAACGGUGGAGUUGUGUGUUUCUUUACAACUUUUGAAAUCGACUCCAAACGGCGUGGGGUAGGGUACCAUUUAAAUUAUGCUGCCAUCCUACACCUUUUGUAUUAUUUAGGUCAUGUGUCUUUAUUCUUUGGCGCAGAUUAUGAUGAUGUCUGAGCGUUCAAGCAUUUUAGUCUGGAGUAGGACAUGUUUAUGGACUUCUAGGGCAUUGUGAUAAGUAUUAUAUUUAUUUAAUACAAAUGUCGUUCGAACAGAGGAAAAAAUAAACAGACUGGCUAAACAUACAAUUAUUCUUUUGGUUUGUGAAACCCCUGUGUAAGGACACAAAAGGGGGGACGUUCACCGCGGAAAGUAAAUUCUUUUGAAGUGGAACUAAUCAUCUGAGGGAUGGUUCUCGUUGUCCUAACAACGCAGCUGAAUUGGAAUGAGCCUCCUUUUUGUUGAAGAUAUGUUUUCUUUCUUUCAUUCAAAACUGAUGAUGAUAGUAGUUUCACGCCCUGUCCACCCACAUUGUCAGUCCAAACUUUUUUUUGCAGAUAAGUCUUUACUUGGAGACGCCGAACACACGGCGGGUGACUCUUGGACUGUGACGUAAGCCUCGCCCUUCUGUCUCCAAGUCUACGCUUUAUAAUACCGUUCUAAUGAAAAGGGAAUCUCACACCAAAUCCUCCUCAAUAACACUUAUUUGAAAGACUGUGAAAAGAUCAACACUCUUAGGCUACUCUUAAAUAUAUUUUCAUCUCCUUGAUGAUUAUGCACUGAUAACUUUCCCAUUUUUCUAUCAUCGAUUUUGGAGUCUAAGUCCAAUCAUAUUAUGCCUAUUUUGUUUAUUUUGUUACCUAUCUGUGUUCAUUGUAACUCAACGGCUUUUCUGUUCCCCAGUUCGCCAGAACAGUUAUGCACAGCAUCCAAUAGACUAGGCCUUCACGAAUUUGACUUUAUUGUUUGGCAAUUUGAAUAGCAGCUGCUUUAAAAUUACAGACAGAUAUGACAGACAGAAAGAUGAAAGGAUGUAUAGGCGUAUGGCUAGACCAACACAUAGGCAUGAUAUAUAUGAAGCCCUAUUUGUUUAGCCUAAAGUUGGUUAACCCAAUAAACUAUUAUAUAAUAGAAAACAAUUGUCAAGUGGAAUUGAUGAUUGAUAGGCCUAUUGAUUGAUGACAAUGACAAGUCUUUGGUAUUAUAAUGAGUUGUAACUGUUGGUUCUACGUCGAUGGUCUCCACAUACAGCCUCCGGGGCUUGUAAAAGGUAACUUUGGCCCUCUGACCUCGCUCUAGGAAUUCCAUCCUCUCCCCGUUACUAAAUCUUUCUCCUUCACAGGCUCUACCUUUGCUUCACAACGUUAUAAACUGUUUGCCUUUUAUGCAAGGCCUAGUAACCGAGGCAUUUUAUUGUCACCACGUGGGACCAGGGUUCAAGCAACAGCCGUCCGACAAGAGAGGUGAAGGGGCUAGAGGAAGGAUAACUCUUACUGACUUGAUGAAACUUUCAACAGUUUAGGCCUACUUUUCUGUUUAGCCUAAUAUUGUGACGAACGAAAAAUGUAGCCUGUUGCGGUGUGUUUUCAGAAUAAUUGUCUCAUGA